rnacentral:rRNA from 1 species
AACGUAGGACACAAGCGUUAUCCGGAGUUACUGGGCGUAAAGCGCGCGUAGGCGGCCCGGUAAGUCCGCUGUAAAAGUCCAGGGCUCAACCCUGGAAAGCCGGUGGAUACUGUCGGGCUAGAGUCCGGAAGAGGCGAGUGGAAUUCCCGGUGUAGCGGUGAAAUGCGCAGAUAUCUGGAGGAACACCGGUGGCGAAGGCGGCAUCCUGGACCGGUAUUGACGCUGAUGCGCGAAAGCCAGGGGAGCAAACGGG